rnacentral:tRNA from 1 species
GGCUUUGUAGCUCAACUGAAUAGAGCAUCUGACUACGGAUCAGAAGGUUUCAGGUUUGAAUCCUGACAGAGUCACUA